GAUGAACGCUGGCGGCGUGCCUAAUACAUGCAAGUCGAGCGAACAGACGAGGAGCUUGCGCCUCUGACGUUAGCGGCGGACGGGUGAGUAACGCGUGGAUAACCUACCUGUAAUACUGGGAUAACUUCGGGAAACCGGAGCUAAUACCGUAUAAUAUAUUGAACCGCAUUGGUCAAUAGUGAAAUACGGUUUUGCUGGCGCUUGUGGAUGGAUCCGCGCCUUAUCAGCUAGUUGGGAGUGUAGUGGCUUACCAAGGCUAUGACGGGUAGCCGGCCUGAGAGGGUGACCGGCCACAUUGGGACGGAGAUACGGCCCAGACUCCUACGGGAGGCAGCAGUGGGGAAGAGUGCACAAUGGGAGGAAGCCUGAUGCAGCAACGCCGCGUGCGGGAUGACGGCCUUCGGGUUGUAAACCGCUUUCGCCUGUGACGAAGCGUGAGUGACGGUAAUGGGUAAAGAAGCACCGGCUAACUACGUG
rnacentral:rRNA from 1 species